AGUGAACGCUGGCGGCAGGCCUAACACAUGCAAGUCGAGCGGCAGCGCGGGGGCAACCCUGGCGGCGAGCGGCGGACGGGUGAGGAAUUCGUCGGAAUCUGCCUUUUUGUGUGGGAUAACGUAGGGAAACUUACGCUAAUACCGCAUACGUCCUACGGGAGAACGUUGGGGACCGCAAUGCCUCCCGCAGAAAGAUGAGCCGACGACCGAUUAGCUAGUUGGUGGGGUAAAGGCCCACCAAGGCGACGAUCGGUAGCUGGUCUGAGAGGAUGAUCAGCCACACUGGGACUGAGACACGGCCCAGACUCCUACGGGAGGCAGCAGUGGGGAAUAUUGGACAAUGGGCGCAAGCCUGAUCCAGCCAUGCCGCGUGUGUGAAGAAGGCCUUCGGGUUGUAAAGCACUUUUGUCCGGAAAGAAAUCCCUGGAGCUAAUACCUUCGGGGGAUGACGGUACCGGAAGAAUAAGCACCGGCUAACUUCGUG
rnacentral:rRNA from 1 species